rnacentral:misc_RNA from 1 species
GAUGAAGAACGUAGCGAAAUGCGAUAAGUAAUGUGAAUUGCAGAAUUCAGUGAAUCAUCGAAUCUUUGAACGCACAUUGCGCCCGCUAGUAUUCUGGCGGGCAUGCCUGUCCGAGCGUCAUUUCAACCCUCAAGCCCCCGGGCUUGGUGUUGGGGAUCGGCGAGCCUCCGCGCCCGCCGUCCCCUAAACCUAGUGGCGGUCUCGCUGUAGCUUCCUCUGCGUAGUAGCACACCUCGCACUGGGAAACAGCGCGGCCACGCCGUUAAACCCCCAACUUCUGAACGUUUGACCUCGGAUCAGGUAGGAAUACCCGCUGAACUUAAGCAUAUCAAUAAGCGGAGGA